rnacentral:rRNA from 1 species
GACGAACGCUGGCGGCGUGCUUAACACAUGCAAGUCGUACGGUAAGGCCCUUUCGGGGGUACACGAGUGGCGAACGGGUGAGUAACACGUGAGUAACCUGCCCACAACUUUGGGAUAACGCCAGGAAACUGGUGCGAAUACUGGAUAUGUGCUCCUGCUGCAUGGUGGGGGGUGGAAAGCUCCGGCGGUUGUGGAUGGACUCGCGGCCUAUCAGCUUGUUGGUGGGGUAGUGGCCUACCAAGGCGGCGACGGGUAGCCGGCCUGAGAGGGUGACCGGCCACAUUGGGACUGAGAUACGGCCCCGACUCCUACGGGAGGCAGCAGUGGGGAAUAUUGCACAAUGGGCGCAAGCCUGAUGCAGCAACGCCGCGUGCGGGAUGACGGCCUUCGGGUUGUAAACCGCUUUCAGCAGGGACGAAGCUUUUUGUGACGGUACCUGCAGAAGAAGCACCGGCUAACUACGUG